rnacentral:rRNA from 1 species
UGGGGAAUAUUGCACAAUGGGCGCAAGCCUGAUGCAGCCAUGCCGCGUGUAUGAAGAAGGCCUUCGGGUUGUAAAGUACUUUCAGCGAGGAGGAAGGCGGUAAGGUUAAUAACCUUAUCGAUUGACGUUACUCGCAGAAGAAGCACCGGCUAACUCCGUGCCAGCAGCCGCGGUAAUACGGAGGGUGCAAGCGUUAAUCGGAAUUACUGGGCGUAAAGCGCACGCAGGCGGUCUGUCAAGUCGGAUGUGAAAUCCCCGGGCUCAACCUGGGAACUGCAUUCGAAACUGGCAGGCUAGAGUCUUGUAGAGGGGGGUAGAAUUUCAGGUGUAGCGGUGAAAUGCGUAGAGAUCUGGAGGAAUACCGGUGGCGAAGGCGGCCCCCUGGACAAAGACUGACGCUCAGGUGCGAAAGCGUGGGGAGCAAACA